GUUUUUGUAGUUGAAUAACAACGGUGGUUUUUCAAGUCAUUAGUCCUGGUUAAAGUCCUGGCAGAAACUAU
rnacentral:tRNA from 1 species